GUUAACUCCAGGAGCAUUCACUGGUGCACAGGUGGGGAGAAUAGAUCCUUCACAUUGACUACAAAAUGAGCUUUCUGAAUAACCUCUGUCCAGCCAGGAGGAUUGCUAGGAACAGCUACAAUCAACAGGUACAACAGUAAUGUUUCAGUUAUUAAACACAACCAUGUUUAAUAUAGUGUGCUAACAAGUAUUUAGGGAAAGAGAAUGAGGCAGUGCUGGAGCAGGCCAACCAGGGUUCUCAGCAGAAAAUUCUGAAGAAAACAUCUGGGAGCAAGGAAGACUCCAUGCCCAGUCACUGUGGCACUAAGAUGGUAACCCAGAUGGAAGAGGAGGGAAUGUACUGAUUUUGUUUUCUAGUUCUGUAAAACAAUAUCUGUUUGUAUUCUGUUAUUGUAACUACUGCAUUUCAAGAGCCUCAGGUAAUAAAACCCUUAAGGAAGAACAUAGCUAACUUCCUGGACUGUUUAGAUUUGAAUAUUAAACAGCUGACCUAAUCUAUCAGCUCAAACAGCUGUUCUGUUAGGUAGUCACUCUGGAGUACUUUUACUUCAUUUAUGAGAAAUAUAAUAAACAGCAUAAUUCUAUUCUCCUUUGAGGAGCUUUGAAUGUCUGUUGCUAACCGAGCUCAUUCCAUCUGCUUAAGUGCCAGAAUCGUUGGGGUUUUUUUUUUGCCUUUGUUUAAAAAUACUGCUAUAAAAAUACA